AUUGAAAAAUGCAGCGAACUCGUGGCAACCUCUUCUUUCUAUUUCUAAGAAGAAAAAAUCAAUUUUGAGAAAUUUCAAAAUUCGGGAUGUUACAUCCCCCUUUCUUAGUUUUCUGGGUUUGAGGUUCGGUCUCCGACAAGGUCUUUUGUUCUUAGGGUUUCAAUGAGUCCGUCGAGCUCAGGCGAGCCUAGUUGUGGUUAGUGGGAGCCCAGAUGCAUCUUGGAAGAGGUUUGGAGGAAGCUGCUCCUGUUUUGGAAGGUGGUAAAGCCCUAGGAACGCCGUGGAGGGUGGCUGGUCGGUGGAGCAGUGUCUCCCACCCUUGGAUCUUCGACUGGGAGACUUGAAUGGGUAACCUUCGAAUCCUUUAACCACUGUGUUGCCUAGUUUAUGAUGGGUUGGUGAUUAAUCUUGGGUCUUUUAUUGCUUGUUGUCGAGAACUUGGUGAAUCGAAGAUUUCGGGAAGGUCAUGGCGAAAUUCCGACAAGUCGUCGGAAUCCGGUAGAGUUUUCUAGCAAGUCAUCGGAAUCCGGCAAGACAGUAGAUCCAACAGAGAGCGGAGAAGGACUCAAGUAAGUGUCUAUGGACGUAAAGGCUCGCCGUAGGAAGUUGACCGGCAUUUGACUUGGGAAGCCUCCGCUUAGCAAUUAAAUAACCGAAUCACU